rnacentral:rRNA from 9 species
AGAGUUUGAUCAUGGCUCAGAUUGAACGCUGGCGGCAGGCCUAACACAUGCAAGUCGAACGGUAACAGGAAGCAGCUUGCUGCUUUGCUGACGAGUGGCGGACGGGUGAGUAAUGUCUGGGAAACUGCCCGAUGGAGGGGGAUAACUACUGGAAACGGUAGCUAAUACCGCAUAACGUCGCAAGACCAAAGAGGGGGACCUUAGGGCCUCUUGCCAUCGGAUGUGCCCAGAUGGGAUUAGCUAGUAGGUGGGGUAAAGGCUCACCUAGGCGACGAUCCCUAGCUGGUCUGAGAGGAUGACCAGCCACACUGGAACUGAGACACGGUCCAGACUCCUACGGGAGGCAGCAGUGGGGAAUAUUGCACAAUGGGCGCAAGCCUGAUGCAGCCAUGCCGCGUGUAUGAAGAAGGCCUUCGGGUUGUAAAGUACUUUCAGCGGGGAGGAAGGGAGUAAAGUUAAUACCUUUGCUCAUUGACGUUACCCGCAGAAGAAGCACCGGCUAACUCCGUGCCAGCAGCCGCGGUAAUACGGAGGGUGCAAGCGUUAAUCGGAAUUACUGGGCGUAAAGCGCACGCAGGCGGUUUGUUAAGUCAGAUGUGAAAUCCCCGGGCUCAACCUGGGAACUGCAUCUGAUACUGGCAAGCUUGAGUCUCGUAGAGGGGGGUAGAAUUCCAGGUGUAGCGGUGAAAUGCGUAGAGAUCUGGAGGAAUACCGGUGGCGAAGGCGGCCCCCUGGACGAAGACUGACGCUCAGGUGCGAAAGCGUGGGGAGCAAACAGGAUUAGAUACCCUGGUAGUCCACGCCGUAAACGAUGUCGACUUGGAGGUUGUGCCCUUGAGGCGUGGCUUCCGGAGCUAACGCGUUAAGUCGACCGCCUGGGGAGUACGGCCGCAAGGUUAAAACUCAAAUGAAUUGACGGGGGCCCGCACAAGCGGUGGAGCAUGUGGUUUAAUUCGAUGCAACGCGAAGAACCUUACCUGGUCUUGACAUCCACGGAAGUUUUCAGAGAUGAGAAUGUGCCUUCGGGAACCGUGAGACAGGUGCUGCAUGGCUGUCGUCAGCUCGUGUUGUGAAAUGUUGGGUUAAGUCCCGCAACGAGCGCAACCCUUAUCCUUUGUUGCCAGCGGUCCGGCCGGGAACUCAAAGGAGACUGCCAGUGAUAAACUGGAGGAAGGUGGGGAUGACGUCAAGUCAUCAUGGCCCUUACGACCAGGGCUACACACGUGCUACAAUGGCGCAUACAAAGAGAAGCGACCUCGCGAGAGCAAGCGGACCUCAUAAAGUGCGUCGUAGUCCGGAUUGGAGUCUGCAACUCGACUCCAUGAAGUCGGAAUCGCUAGUAAUCGUGGAUCAGAAUGCCACGGUGAAUACGUUCCCGGGCCUUGUACACACCGCCCGUCACACCAUGGGAGUGGGUUGCAAAAGAAGUAGGUAGCUUAACCUUCGGGAGGGCGCUUACCACUUUGUGAUUCAUGACUGGGGUGAAGUCGUAACAAGGUAACCGUAGGGGAACCUGCGGUUGGAUCACCU